rnacentral:tRNA from 1 species
GGGCGUGUGGUCUAGUGGUAUGAUUCUCGCUUUGGGCGAAGAUUGAGUUAUACUUGGUCUAAAAAUCACAAAUAUGCGAGAGGCCCUGGGUUCAAUUCCCAGCUCGCCCC